GGUAAGGUGUCCGAGUGGUUAUGGAGCUGCGUUUAGGUUUUUCACCUGAGCAGAGAUCCGCAGUGGCGUUGCCUCGAGGGUUCGAAUCCCUCCCUUAUCA
rnacentral:tRNA from 1 species